CAUACUAUUACAAGUCACCUCCUCCUCCAUCUCCAGUUUACAUAUACAAGUCACCACCUCCUCCAUCACCUACUUAUGUUUACAAGUCACCACCACCACCAGUGAAGUCACCUCCCUAUUACUAUCAAUCUCCACCUCCACCAUCACCAAAACCUCAGCCUCCUUAUUAUUAUCACUCUCCACCUCCUCCAACACCAGUUGUUAAGCCACCAUACUACUACCAAUCUCCACCUCCUCCAUCUCCAAAACCUAAGCCUCCAUACUACUACCAAUCUCCUCCUCCUCCAUCACCAAAACCUAAACCUCCUUACUACUACCAAUCUCCACCUCCUCCAUCACCAAAACCUCAGCCUCCAUACUACUAUCAAUCUCCACCUCCUCCAACACCAGUUGUGAAGCCACCAUACUACUACCAAUCUCCACCUCCUCCAUCACCAAAACCUCAGCCUCCUUACUAUUACCAAUCUCCACCUCCUCCAACACCAGUUGUUAAGCCACCAUACUACUAUAAAUCUCCACCUCCCCCAUCACCCUCUCCUCCACCACCAUACUACUACAAAUCUCCACCACCACCAUCCCCAUCACCGCCACCUCCAUACUACUAUAAAUCUCCACCUCCACCAUCACCGGUUGUUAAGCCACCAUACUACUAUAAAUCCCCACCUCCCCCAUCACCCUCUCCUCCCCCUCCAUACUACUAUAAAUCUCCACCUCCAUACUACUACCACUCUCCACCUCCACCAUCACCAGUUGUUAAGCCACCAUACUACUACAAAUCUCCACCUCCACCAUCACCCUCACCUCCCCCUCCAUACUACUAUAAAUCUCCACCCCCACCUUCACCAUCCCCUCCUCCUCCAUACUAUUAUAAAUCACCACCACCACCAUCCCCAUCACCGCCACCUCCAUACUAUUACAAAUCCCCUCCACCUCCAUCCCCAUCUCCACCGCCUCCUUAUUACUAUCACAGUCCUCCUCCACCAUCUCCCACUCCUCAUCCUCCCUACUACUACAAAUCCCCUCCACCACCAACGUCCUAUCCUCCACCUCCUUACCACUAUGUGAGCCCUCCACCACCUUCUCCAUCUCCACCUCCACCAUACUAUUACAAAUCACCACCUCCUCCCUCCCCAGCCCCCGCUCCAAAGUACAUUUACAAAUCACCUCCAC
rnacentral:lncRNA from 1 species